AGCAGCCGCGGUAAUUCCAGCUCCAAUAGCGUAUAUUAAAGUUGUUGCAGUUAAAAAGCUCGUGGUUGAAUUUCGGGGUUAGUAGGUCGGUCGUGCCACAGGUAUGUACUGGUCUCACUGAUUCCUCCUUCCUGAUGAACCGUAAUGCCAUUAAUUUGGUGUUGCGGGGAAACUGGACUGUUACUUUGAAAAAUUAGAGUGUUUAAAGCAGGCUAACGCUUGAAUACAUUAGCAUGGAAUAAUGAAAUAGGACGUUCGAUCCUAUUUUGUUGGUUUCUAGGAUUGACGUAAUGAUUAAUAGGGAUAGUUGGGGGCAUUAGUAUUCAAUUGUCAGAGGUGAAAUUCUUGGAUUUAUUGAAGACUAACUACUGCGAAAGCAUUUGCCAAGGAUGUUUUCAUUAAUCAAGAACGAAAGUUAGGGGAUCGAAGACGAUCAGAUACCGUCGUAGUCUUAACCAUAAACUAUGCCGACUAGGGAUCGGAUGAUGU
rnacentral:rRNA from 1 species